rnacentral:rRNA from 1 species
UAAUACGUACUGUGCGAACGUUAUUCGGAAUCACUGGGCUUAAAGGGUGCGUAGGCGGCCAAAUAAGUAGGGUGUGAAAUCCCCCGGCUCAACCGAGGAAUUGCGCUCUAAACUAUUUGGCUUGAGUGAGAUAGGGGUGUGCGGAACUUCCAGUGGAGCGGUGAAAUGUGUUGAUAUUGGAAGGAACGCCAGUAGCGAAAGCGGCACACUGGGUCUCAACUGACGCUGAGGCACGAAAGCCAGGGGAGCGAACGGGAUUAGAUACCCCGGUAGUCCUGGCUGUAAACGAUGAGUACUAGUCGGGAGGGGCUUCGGCCCAUCCCGAGUAAAGCGAAAGCGUUAAGUACUCCGCCUGGGGAGUAUGGUCGCAAGGCUG